rnacentral:lncRNA from 1 species
UAGAAUGCUCUCACUUUCAAUUAAGAAAUUGAAAUCCAGACUCCCGGACUUUUGACUUACCCACUGUCAGACCACUAGUUAAUGUCAGAGCAGGAAGUAUAAGGUAAAGCUCUCUUGAGAGAUCAGAAUUUGCAGUAGAUCUGUGACUUAGAAGAUACAUACCAGCUGACUCUCAGAUACUGUAGAAGAUGGUGAGGAGAGAUUUGCCUGCAAAA